rnacentral:rRNA from 1 species
UACGAAGGGGGCUAGCGUUGCUCGGAAUCACUGGGCGUAAAGGGUGCGUAGGCGGGUCUUUAAGUCAAGGGUGAAAUCCUGGAGCUCAACUCCAGAACUGCCUUUGAUACUGGCGAUCUUGAGUCCGGGAGAGGUGAGUGGAACUCCGAGUGUAGAGGUGAAAUUCGUAGAUAUUACGGAAGAACACCAGUGGCGAAGGCGGCUCACUGGCCCGGUACUGACGCUGAUGUGCGAAAGCGUGGGGAGCAAACAGGG